UACGAAGGGGACUAGCGUUGUUCGGAAUCACUGGGCGUAAAGCGCACGUAGGCGGAUUUGUAAGUCAGGGGUGAAAUCCCGGGGCUCAACCUCGGAACUGCCUUUGAUACUGCGAAUCUUGAGUCCGAUAGAGGUGGGUGGAAUUCCUAGUGUAGAGGUGAAAUUCGUAGAUAUUAGGAAGAACACCAGUGGCGAAGGCGGCCCACUGGAUCGGUACUGACGCUGAGGUGCGAAAGCGUGGGGAGCAAACAGG
rnacentral:rRNA from 1 species